rnacentral:lncRNA from 10 species
AGAGUUAUGAGUCAGGCAAGACAAGCAAUCCAUUUAAGCAAUCCAUUUAAGACAGAAAUAGUACAUUCAGGAUCAGGCACAUGAGGGCUGAUGGGCACAAGGCAGCUGCAUGAGCAGCUAGAAGAGAACCCCAGGUAUCUACCAUGUUACACUAGUGUCCUUUUCUUGGGUCACAACUGUGAACCUAUUGCCGUAUUGGGGAUCUAUACGGCCAGCUGAAGGAGGAUAGAACUCAAGCUUGGUUUACCUGAGUCACCCUGGAACGUGAUGCAAACUGAAAAUGUACAGUGGUUGCAUUAUAGCCAGAGGUGUGCUGAAGGUAGCUCACACAGGCUUCUGAGUGCUGAAUGUAUGCAUCUCUACCCAAUCCUGCAACACAGAUAUCCCACUGGGAGCUUGUAAUGGCCACAGUAGGACUAUUGUCACUACAGAAAGCAGCAAAUGUUGUAAAUCAGGACUCUUUUCUCCCCUGGAGAACUGGUUGUGGAAUAUUUUUCAGCAAUCUACUGAUGACAGCCCCAUCCAACCAGACACUUUACUCAAACCAGAAGAGCUACCUAAAGGUUAGAGAGAUCUAGAAUAUGGAGUAGAGGAGAGAUACGACGUGACCAACUGCAGUGGUGGGGACUUUAGCUUGCACCGCUAACCUUUUUCUUAGAAUUUUGUCCCAGGAAAAGAGGCCACCAUAGUCCUGGAGGAGUUACUUCCGGAAGGUGUUGAUCCUGAGAGUGCUUUGUUAAAAAACAUUCUCCAUGCUGACCUCCGUUUUCGAGUCCGCUUCCUGGGGAAACCUGAAACAGGACUUGAUGCUAGCAGCUGCCCAGAAGAACCAGAUGGGCCACUGUCCUUGCCAGAAGAUCUGAUAUCCUGUGUAUGGCCACCACCUAACACUGCUCACUUCUACAUGUAAACCUCAGGUAGGUGUGUCUGUUUGGA